rnacentral:rRNA from 1 species
AGUGAACGCUGGCGGUAGGCCUAACACAUGCAAGUCGAACGGCAGCACAGGAGAGCUUGCUCUCUGGGUGGCGAGUGGCGGACGGGUGAGGAAUACAUCGGAAUCUACUUUUUCGUGGGGGAUAACGUAGGGAAACUUACGCUAAUACCGCAUACGACCUACGGGUGAAAGCAGGGGACCUUCGGGCCUUGCGCGAUUGAAUGAGCCGAUGUCGGAUUAGCUAGUUGGCGGGGUAAAGGCCCACCAAGGCGACGAUCCGUAGCUGGUCUGAGAGGAUGAGCAGCCACACUGGAACUGAGACACGGUCCAGACUCCUACGGGAGGCAGCAGUGGGGAAUAUUGGACAAUGGGCGCAAGCCUGAUCCAGCCAUACCGCGUGGGUGAAGAAGGCCUUCGGGUUGUAAAGCCCUUUUGUUGGGAAAGAAAUCCAGCUGGCUAAUACCCGGUUGGGAUGACGGUACCCAAGGAAUAAGCACCGGCUAACUUCGUGCCAGCCGCCGCGGUAA